rnacentral:rRNA from 1 species
UAGGGAAUCUUCGGCAAUGGACGCAAGUCUGACCGAGCAACGCCGCGUGUGUGAAGAAGGUUUUCGGAUCGUAAAACUCUGUUGUUAGAGAAGAACAAGGACGUUAGUAACUGAACGUCCCCUGACGGUAUCUAACCAGAAAUCCACGGCUAACUACGUGCCAGCAGCCGCGGUAAUACGUAGGUGGCAAGCGUUGUCCGGAUUUAUUGGGCGUAAAGCGAGCGCAGUCGGUUUCUUAAGUCUGAUGGGAAAGCCCCCAGCUCAACCGGGGAGGGUCAUUGGAAGCUGGGAGACGUGAGUGCAGAAGAGGGGAGGGGAAUUCCAUGUGUAGCGGUGAAAUGCGUAGAUAUAUGGAGGAACACCAGUGGCGAAGGCGGCUCUCUGGUCUGUAACUGACGCUGAGGCUCGAAAGCGUGGGGAGCAAACAGG